CCAGACUCCUACGGGAGGCAGCAGUGAGGAAUAUUGGUCAAUGGCCGAGAGGCUGAACCAGCCAAGUCGCGUGAGGGAAGACGGCCCUACGGGUUGUAAACCUCUUUUGUCGGGGAGCAAAAGACGCCACGCGUGGCGUUCCGAGAGUACCCGAAGAAAAAGCAUCGGCUAACCCCGUGCCAGCAGCCGCGGUAAUACGGAGGAUGCGAGCGUUAUCCGGAUUUAUUGGGUUUAAAGGGUGCGCAGGCGGGGUGUCAAGUCAGCGGUAAAAUGUCGGGGCUCAACCCCGGCCGGCCGUUGAAACUGGCGUGCUCGAGUUGGAGAGAAGUAUGCGGAAUUCGUGGUGUAGCGGUGAAAUGCAUAGAUAUCACGAAGAACCCCGAUUGCGAAGGCAGCAUACCGGCUCCACACUGACGCUGAGGCACGAAAGCGUGGGUAUCGAACAGGAUUAGAUACCCCGGUA
rnacentral:rRNA from 1 species